AGUGAACGCUGGCGGCGUGCUUAACACAUGCAAGUCGAACGAGAACGGGUUAUAGCUUGCUAUAAUUGUCAGCUAAGUGGCGCACGGGUGAGUAAUGUAUAGGUAAUAUGCCUCUUACUAAGGGAUAACAAAUGGAAACGUUUGCUAAUACCUUAUACUCCUUAUUAACAUAAGUUAAUAAGGGAAAGAUUUAUUGGUAAGAGAUUAGCCUGUAUUGUAUCAGUUAGUUGGUGGGGUAAUGGCUUACCAAGUCUAUGACACAUAACUGGUUUGAGAGGAUGAUCAGUCACACUGGAACUGAGACACGGUCCAGACUCCUACGGGAGGCAGCAGUGGGGAAUAUUGCACAAUGGACGAAAGUCUGAUGCAGCAACGCCGCGUGGAGGAUGACACAUUUCGGUGCGUAAACUCCUUUUAUAUGAGAAGAUAGUGACGGUAUUAUAUGAAUAAGCACCGGCUAACUCCGUGCCAGCCGCCGCAGUAA
rnacentral:rRNA from 1 species